UUAACAGGGUUGAGCCCAUUUUGAUUUUUGUAAAGCAAAGCUUCUUCGUUCUUCGUUCAGCCUCUUUUUCGAUCAAAGCUUCUUCUUCGUUUUCGAUCUCUCUCUCCGAUCAUCUCAGCCUCUUUCUCCGAUCAUCUCAGCCUCUUUCUCAGGCUCUGUUCUCAGGCUCCUCCGUGGGUUUCAUCAUCUCAGGCUCUGUUCUCAGGCUUCUCCAUAGCAUCUCAAAGCUCUCUUCUCCAAACGGACCAAACCCAUCUCUUCCUUUUCUCAUCUGAGACGCAAACCUCGAGCUCUCUCAUCCGAUUUGGUUUAUCACGAGCUCUCUUAUCUCCUCUGAUUGAGUUCUCUUGCAGGAAAAGAAGUUACUGGACUUGCCAAAGUUAUUGGAUAUAUGCGCUAUUUAUGGUCAUGAAAAUGCAGAACUCACAAAAUCUUUAGUAAGUCGGAGCUUUUGUCAUUUCUCUACACUCUUUCAUCUGCUAGUAACCUGAGUACUCUGUGUAGAUCGUUUAAGCCUUGUCUUCUCUUGUGUUUUGCAUCGCUUGUGUUUGCUGUCUGUGUAGCUGUUGCGUUUUGAAUUGCUGGAUCAUGCUUCUUAUUUGCGUUUGGAUAUGAAGCAGCUUCUCUGUUCUGCCAUGUCAUCUUCAUAGUAGCUUCUGUCUUUUUAUGAGUUUGUUGUCUCUCUUUAUGAGUUCGUUGACUGUAUUGUCUGUAAUCUUGUUGAUUGAUUCCAGGCAGCAGAAGAUUAAGAGAACGAGGAAUCUGUACGUUGUCAUGCUACGUUGAUCUGAGGACAUUUUCUUUUGUACUUGUUGUCUGUGUUGUACUCUUUGCUUUUCAGUGAUUUUGUAUACAAUGAAGCAGAAAGAGUAUUGGCGAGUGAAGAUCCUUCAUUGCAUGUUUCAAAAAAGUCUUUGUUUUGUGUUUAGUUUUUUUCUUAACAUUCAUUCUUGGUGGUGUCUUUGAAACUGUUGGAACAUGGAAGUGUAUUAAAGAUUCAUUCAUGUGUGUUUGUUUCAAGUUAAAGAUUCAUUCAUGUUUCACAUUA